rnacentral:rRNA from 1 species
CUGAGGCGCGAAGGCGUGGGGAGCAAACGGGAUUAGAUACCCCGGUAGUCCACGCAGUAAACGAUGUCUAUUAGAAUUUUGUGGCUAUAUGCUGUGGGAUUCAAAGCUAACGCAUUAAAUAGACCGCCUGGGGAGUACGGCCGCAAGGUUAAAACUCAAAUGAAUUGACGGGGGCCCGCACAAGCGGUGGAGCAUGUGGUUUAAUUCGAUGCAACGCGAAGAACCUUACCAUCCCUUGACAUCCAGAGAAUCUGUUAGAGAUAGUAGAGUGCCUUCGGGAACUCUGAGACAGGUGCUGCAUGGCUGUCGUCAGCUCGUGUUGUGAAAUGUUGGGUUAAGUCCCGCAACGAGCGCAACCCUUAUCCUUAUUUGCCAGCGGGUUAUGCCGGGAACUCUAGGGACACUGCCGGUGAUAAACCGGAGGAAGGUGGGGACGACGUCAAGUCAUCAUGGCCCUUACGGGAUGGGCUACACACGUGCUACAAUGGCAAAUACAAAGGGCAGCUAACCAGCGAUGGUAUGCGAAUCUCCUAAAGUUUGUCGUAGUCCGGAUCGGAGUCUGCAACUCGACUCCGUGAAGUUGGAAUCGCUAGUAAUCGUGGAUCAGAAUGCCACGGUGAAUACGUUCCCGGGCCUUGUACACACCGCCCGUCACACCAUGGGAGUGGGCUGCACCAGAAGUCAUUAGCUUAACCUUCGGGAUGGCGAUGACCACGGUGUGGUUCAUGACUGGGGUGAAGUCGUAACAAGGUAGCCCUAGGGGAACCUGGGGCUGGAUCACCUCCUUACGUAAAGA